rnacentral:rRNA from 1 species
UGAGGAAUAUUGGUCAAUGGGCGAGAGCCUGAACCAGCCAAGUCGCGUGAGGGAAGACGGUCCUAUGGAUUGUAAACCUCUUUUGCCGGGGAGCAAGGAGCGGCACGUGUGCCGCGCCGAGAGUACCCGGAGAAAAAGCAUCGGCUAACUCCGUGCC